rnacentral:lncRNA from 1 species
CUUUUCCUCAAUUUUAAAGCCUCUAGCAGGCACUUUUUAAUUAUUAUUAUUACUUCUUAAGUCAGUACAAAAUAUUUCUUUCUUUACACGAAGAAGUGCCUUCAUCUAUUUGACGGGUACACUUGCUUAGCACACAGUACUGCUGUGUCCAGGAACAUUUGCUGCUGAUUAAAGGGGUACAGCUCAGUUUGCAAAGCAAAGUGUCAAGCACAAACAUAUUUCUCCUGUUUGCCUUCUGGUCUCUCUUCCCAGCUUAGAGUUUUCCAGGUGCUAAAUGGUCUUCACUCAGAGAAAAGACCAUCUGUGUUUUGUUGAUGCUCGGACAAACAAAACUUCGCAGAGGAGGCUUAUUGCUCUCUUUCUCCUUUCCUGCCUCUGUGCUCAGAGUGGCUGUGCUGGAGGAAGGCUUGGUGCCAAACCAACUGGCAGAGGCUGCUGGACCUUGGAAAACCAAGAGCUGCUCUCCAUUCCCUCCAUCCUGUAGGGUUCAGCAGUUUGGAAGAUGAAUGAUACUGGAAGAUGCUCACUAGGAGAUGCUCUUCUCUCAACCAUCUCUUCCUUUGCUCACCCUGGACCACAGACAGUGGGUUUCUCUAAAAGCAAUCUUCCCAGCAGCUGGACAUGCCAACCCAUGCUUCACAGGCUCACGUGGAAGACAGAUCCUGCCUUCCCAAGGUUUGGCUGCUUGCUCUAAGAACCAAUCCUUGCAGAGAAUGCUGGGCACCCUCAGCCUCCUCCCAUCCUAUGGCACUUUAAAAACAAAACCCAAAAACAUGAUAUGUGUUUCUAAAAAAAUGAGGUAGAAUCAGUUUUGUGCCAUGAAGAGGAGGCUGGCAGAAGGAAGCAAGCAAGUACACAAAGCAAGCUCAGAUGGUUUCAGGUUCAACUUCAGCUUUGAAAUUUAUGGCUAUAGACCUCAUAAAGAUCCGUGUGACCAUCAUUCUGAAAACUUCUUGUUCAGUUCUGAUUUAUAGCUUGUGUAAAUCCAAGCAAAACAGUGCAGCAAAAGAAAUUCGUGGGAUAAUUUACAGCUUCAGUUUAGAUUAGGCUUUUAGUAGUUAUUUACCUUCAUACUUUAGAUAAAGAUUUGUGAGUAGCCAAUUACCCAAAGCAGCAUGAGCAGCUUUGACAGCUGACUCCAAUGCAGGAGAUACCCUUAGAAAGUGCUGCUUUAUAUCCUAAUAGAAAAUGCUACAGUUAAAAACAGAAACCGGAGUCUAUACCCUGAAUGUUAAAAUACUGGGGGGAAGAACAUCAUAAUCACUCACAUGGAACAAAGUGUUUGAGGAUAAAAGCUCCUGAAAAGGAGAUGGAGAGAUCAUUACUGCACGUUUAUAUAAAGCCAGGGAUGCUCUUUUAGGUGUUCUUUGAAUUUUAUUUUUUUAGCUGUACCAAUUUAUACCUGAAAAAAACAUCCCUAAAGAGUUCAUUAAACCUUUGUCUCAGUACUGCUUUGCUUUGGGACUUGUUUGUUGAUGUGAAAGACUGACUAUUUUCUUCAUGCAAAAUGGUACCUGGGAUUUUAAAACUGGGUGUGUCGUGUUGAUGUUACCUUCACUCAUUCUCCAUGUCUGCUUACAGCCUGGGCUCCUGAGCAGGGCUUUGCUCCCUGUUGCAAGGGCCUUUUGUUGCCUUUGUUAAGUCACCGUAAAGUCAGAUGAAUCAUUUACAUUGAGUUUUGAUUGAUUUCAUGUCUUUUUUUUUUUUGGUUUGAAAGGGAGUGAGGAACCAACUGCAGUUCCUCGUUAGAAUUCAUUUCUUCUUAAUUCCUGAAACUUCUUUGAAAGCAGUUCAGACUCAGAAUGCUAGAUCUCAAACACAAGCCGUGUUGAUCAGAUGCCUCAGUCACAAGCUAUGUAUCCUCCUGGGUGAGCAUAAUUUUGCAAUUGCCUUGUGGCUUCUGCCCAAACAGGGAUGAACUAGGAAGCUACUGUCUAAAACAGCAGUACUCAAAUAUUACUUUUAGGUAAAAUGGAAAAAGGCUUGGCAUCACUAUAUGACAGACUUCACAAACUGAACAGAAAAGGGGCACAAGACCCUACUCUUAGAAAGACAUGAAUUUCCUAGGUACAAGUCAUCACGUUCCUCUAGCUCCUCUACCUCUCCAUUUGGACUGAUGCCCAACACGUUGCUGCCACAAAGAGCCAUCUCAGCCUGGAGCAGUUAAAGAAAAUAAAAGGUUCAAAGUCUUUUGAGAUUCA